rnacentral:lncRNA from 1 species
AGUUACAUUUUAUUCCUGUUAUUUUUUAUUUUCACAUGUUUCUUCACCUGCAGGUUCUGGAAGAAGCUUCGAGAGGAAGUGCCAGAGUUUUGUUGGGGAAAGCUUACUGUCCCCAAAGGGUGAGAUUAUAAUGAUAGCAGCAUGCUCCUGCAGAACAAUCAGAGAUGAAGGGAACAGACAACAUGGAAGAGUUAACAGGAAGAAGGAAAAGAGUUUAUCAGAAGAUUUGCAUGUGCAGCACCUGGCACAUCACAGACCCAAGUGCAGCUGUAAUAUUGCUAUGAAUACUACUGAUACUAAGUUUUUAUCAGUGAAAUAUGGUCAGUCAUCCAACAAUCUGCUUCUUUGGCAUGCAUUCCACUUGCUAUAACGAGGAAUGGACCAAGAGUAUAUCUCAAGAAAUAUAUGGUUAGAAACAAUGCUUUUAUGUUUUCCAUAUUUUGUUAUUUUUGCCUCAAAUCACAGUUCCGUUCAGUGUGAUCUGACAUGGCUGAAGUACUGAAACCCCCACUCCUCCAAAGCAGUGUUGAUUAUAGAAACCCACAAACUUAACCUAACCUAGAGCAGCUUUUCCAGCAGUGAUAUAAUUACAGUAGUUAUUGUUGCAAUAAACCAGAUGUUCCUGAACUGGAAUGAAAGCA